AAUAAUAGGGGAAGGGAAGAAAAGGG
rnacentral:piRNA from 1 species